UACAGAGGAUGCAAGCGUUAUCCGGAAUGAUUGGGCGUAAAGCGCGCGUAGGUGGCUUCGUAAGUCCGUUGUGAAAGUCAAAGGCUCAACCUUUGAAAGCCGAUGGAUACUGCGGAGCUAGAGUACGGAAGAGGCGAGUGGAAUUCCUGGUGUAGCGGUGGAAUGCGCAGAUAUCAGGAGGAACACCGGUGGCGAAGGCGGGUCUCUGGGCAGUAACUGACGCUGAGGAGCGAAAGCGUGGGGAGCGAACAGG
rnacentral:rRNA from 1 species